rnacentral:rRNA from 1 species
CCUACGGGCGGCAGCAGUGAGGAAUAUUGCACAAUGGGGGAAACCCUGAUGCAGCGACGCCGCGUGAGCGAUGAAGUAUUUCGGUAUGUAAAGCUCUAUCAGCAGGGAAGAAAAUGACGGUACCUGACUAAGAAGCCCCGGCUAACUACGUGCCAGCAGCCGCGGUAAUACGUAGGGGGCAAGCGUUAUCCGGAUUUUCUGGGCGUAAAGCGAUCGUAGGCGGUAUGUCAAGUCAGGGGUGAAAUCCCGCCGCUCAACGGUUGAACUGCCUUUGAAACUGGCAAACUGGAGUGUGUUAGAGGUGAGUGGAAGUCCAGGUGUAGGAGUGAAAUGCGUAGAUAUCUGGAGGAACACCAGGGGCGAAGGCGACUAACUGGCAUAUAACUGACGCUGAGGCGCGAAAGCGUGGGUAGCAAACAGGAUUAGAUACCCGGGUAGUC